CCUACGGGAGGCAGCAGUGGGGAAUUUUGGACAAUGGGCGCAAGCCUGAUCCAGCAAUGCCGCGUGCAGGAUGAAGGCCUUCGGGUUGUAAACUGCUUUUGUACGGAACGAAAAAGUCUGCCCUAAUACGGUGGGCCCAUGACGGUACCGUAAGAAUAAGCACCGGCUAACUACGUGCCAGCAGCCGCGGUAAUACGUAGGGUGCGAGCGUUAAUCGGAAUUACUGGGCGUAAAGCGUGCGCAGGCGGUUAUAUAAGACAGAUGUGAAAUCCCCGGGCUCAACCUGGGACCUGCAUUUGUGACUGUAUAGCUAGAGUACGGUAGAGGGGGAUGGAAUUCCGCGUGUAGCAGUGAAAUGCGUAGAUAUGCGGAGGAACACCGAUGGCGAAGGCAAUCCCCUGGACCUGUACUGACGCUCAUGCACGAAAGCGUGGGGAGCAAACAGGAUUAGAUACCCUGGUAGUCCACGCCCUAAACGAUGUCAACUGGUUGUUGGGUCUUCACUGACUCAGUAACGAAGCUAACGCGUGAAGUUGACCGCCUGGGGAGUACGGCCGCAAGGUUGAAACUCAAAGUAGUAGUACGGACGNGAGAGAGACGACGACGACGACGACGGAGGGAGGAGG
rnacentral:rRNA from 1 species